CGACAGCAAUAUAGAAGGUCAGGCUGAAGACCUUACCCGAUUAGCUGAGAGGUGGUGCAUGGCCGUCGUCAGUUCGUACUGUGAAGCAUCCUGUUAAGUCAGGCAACGAGCGAGACCCACGUCCACAGUUGCCAGCAUACCCUCCGGGGUGAUGGGUACACUGUGGAGACCGCCGCUGCUAAAGCGGAGGAAGGAGUGGGCAACGGUAGGUCAGUAUGCCCCGAAUCUCCCGGGCUACACGCGGGCUACAAUGGUUGGUACAAUGGGCAUCUACCCCGAAAGGGGAAGGAAAUCUCUUAAAGCCAAUCGUAGUUCGGAUUGAGGGCUGCAACUCGCCCUCAUGAAGCUGGAAUCCGUAGUAAUCGCGUUUCAACAGAACGCGGUGAAUACGUCCCUGCUCCUU
rnacentral:rRNA from 1 species